rnacentral:tRNA from 2 species
CGGUAGUGUGUCCGAGUGGCCGAAGGAGCUCGCCUCGAAAGCGAGUAUGGGGCAACCCAUCGGGGGUUCAAAUCCCUCCACUACCGCCC